CAUGAAAUUGCAUUAAAAUCGUCUGCCUAAGAAAAAUUGAAUUUUUUUGGGGACUUUUUUAUGAUUUUGGAUGGCUUUUUGGUGGAAAUAGUUGUCUUCCUCUACUUGGAUUUGGCUGUCAAUUUUUUUCUACACUUUUAGGUGUAUUUUGUACAUGAAAUUGCAUUAAAAUCGUCUGCCUAAGAAAAAUUGAAUUUUUUUGGGGACUUUUUUAUGAUUUUGGAUGGCUUUUUGGUGGAAAUAGGUGUCUUCCUCUACUUGGAUUUGGCUGUCAAUUUUUUUCUACACUUUUAGGUGUAUUUUGUGCAUGAAAUUGCAUUAAAAUCGUCUGCCUAAGAAAAAUUGAAUUUUUUUGGGGACUUUUUUAUGAUUUUGGAUGGCUUUUUGGUGGAAAUAGGUGUCUUCCUCUACUUGGAUUUGGCUGUCAAUUUUUUUCUACACUUUUAGGUGUAUUUUGUGCAUGAAAUUGCAUUAAAAUCGUCUGCCUAAGAAAAAUUAAAUUUUUUUGGGGACUUUUUUAUGAUUUUGGAUGGCUUUUUGGUGGAAAUAGGUGUCUUCCUCUACUUGG